UUCUCCUGGAAACGGGUGGUAAUGCCGGAUGCUCCGACUCCUCGCAUGGGGUGUCGGGAAAGAUUUCAUCGGUAUGGGAUGGGGUCGCGUCCUAUCAGGUAGUCGGCGGGGUAACGGCCCACCGAGCCUACGACGGGUAGCCGGCCUGAGAGGGCGACCGGCCACAUUGGGACUGAGAUACGGCCCAGACUCCUACGGGAGGCAGCAGUGGGGAAUAUUGCACAAUGGGCGCAAGCCUGAUGCAGCGACGCCGCGUGCGGGAUGACGGCCUUCGGGUUGUAAACCGCUUUUGAUCGGGAGCAAGCCUUCGGGUGAGUGUACCUUUCGAAUAAGCACCGGCUAACUACGUGCCAGCAGCCGCGGUAAUACGUAGGGUGCAAGCGUUAUCCGGAAUUAUUGGGCGUAAAGGGCUCGUAGGCGGUUCGUCGCGUCCGGUGUGAAAGUCCAUCGCUUAACGGUGGAUCUGCGCCGGGUACGGGCGGGCUGGAGUGCGGUAGGGGAGACUGGAAUUCCCGGUGUAACGGUGGAAUGUGUAGAUAUCGGAAAA
rnacentral:rRNA from 1 species